rnacentral:tRNA from 1 species
GGGACCGUAGCUCAGCGGUGAGAGCAGCCGACUCAUAAUCGGUUGGUCGCAGGUUCGAAUCCUGCCGGUCCCA